GACGUAGGAGGCGAGCGUUGUCCGGAUUCAUUGGGCGUAAAGAGCGUGUAGGCGGCCAGAUAAGUCCGCUGUGAAAUCUCGAGGCUCAACUUCGAGCUGUCGGUGGAAACUGUCUGGCUAGAGUCCGGAAGAGGAGAAUGGAAUUCCUGGUGUAGCGGUGAAAUGCGCAGAUAUCAGGAAGAACACCCGUGGCGAAGGCGGUUCUCUGGGACGGUACUGACGCUGAGACGCGAAAGCGUGGGGAGCGAACAGG
rnacentral:rRNA from 1 species